CUACGGGUGGCUGCAGUAGGGAAUAUUGGACAAUGGGCGAAAGCCUGAUCCAGCAACACCGCGUGCACGAUGACAGCCUUCGGGUUGUAAAGUGCUUUUAGAGGAGAUGAGAAAGGACAGUAUCCUCUGAAUAAGCCUCGGCGAACUACGUGCCAGCAGCCGCGGUAAAACGUAGGGGGCAAGCGUUAUCCGGAUUUAUUGGGCGUAAAGCGCGUGCAGGCGGUCUAGCAAGUUGGAUGUGAAAGCUCCCGGCUCAACUGGGAGAGGUCGUUCAAUACUGUUAGACUAGAGAAUAGGAGAGGGAGGUGGAAUUCCGGGUGUAGUGGUGAAAUGCGUAGAUAUCCGGAGGAACACCAGUGGCGAAAGCGGCCUCCUGGACUAUUUCUGACGCUAAGACGCGAAAGCUAGGGUAGCAAACGGGAUUAGAUACCCCCGUAGUC
rnacentral:rRNA from 1 species